rnacentral:rRNA from 1 species
AAGCUCGUAGUUGAAUUUCGGGGUUAGUAGGUUGGUCAUGCCUCUGGUAUGUACUGGUCUCACUGAUUCCUCCUUCCUUAUGAACCGUAAUGCCAUUAAUUUGGUGUUGCGGGGAAUUUGGACUGUUACUUUGAAAAAAUUAGAGUGUUUAAAGCAAGCUAACGCUUGAAUACAUUAGCAUGGAAUAAUGAAAUAGGACGUUCGAUCUUAUUUUGUUUGGUCUUCUAGGAUUGACGUAAUGAUUAAUAGGGAUAGUUGGG